rnacentral:rRNA from 1 species
UACGGAGGGUGCGAGCGUUGUCCGGAAUCACUGGGCGUAAAGGGCGCGUAGGUGGCGCGGGAAGUCAACGGUGAAAGUUCGGGGCUCAACCCCGGGCCUGCAGUCGAUACGGGCAGACUAGAGUGCGGUAGGGGAGACUGGAAUUCCUGGUGUAGCGGUGAAAUGCGCAGAUAUCAGGAGGAACACCGGUGGCGAAGGCGGGUCUCUGGGCCGUAACUGACGCUGAGGAGCGAAAGCGUGGGGAGCAAACAGG